GACGAACGCUGGCGGCGUGCUUAACACAUGCAAGUCGAACGGAAAGGCCCUGCUUUUGUGGGGUGCUCGAGUGGCGAACGGGUGAGUAACACGUGAGUAACCUGCCCUUGACUUUGGGAUAACUUCAGGAAACUGGGGCUAAUACCGGAUAGGAGCUCCUGCUGCAUGGUGGGGGUUGGAAAGUUUCGGCGGUUGGGGAUGGACUCGCGGCUUAUCAGCUUGUUGGUGGGGUAGUGGCUUACAAAGGUUUUGACGGGUAGCCGGCCUGAGAGGGUGACCGGCCACAUUGGGACUGAGAGACGGCCCAGACUCCUACGUGAGGCAGCAGUGGGGAAUAUUGCACAAUGGGCGGAAGCCUGAUGCAGCAACGCCGCGUGCGGGAUGACGGCCUUCGGGUUGUAAACCGCUUUCGCCUGUGACGAAGCGUGAGUGACGGUAAUGGGUAAAGAAGCACCGGCUAACUACGUG
rnacentral:rRNA from 1 species